ACUCCUACGGGAGGCAGUAGUGGGGAAUAUUGCACAAUGGGCGCAAGCCUGAUGCAGCCAUGCCNCGGUGUGUGAAGAAGGCCCUUCGGGUUGUAAAGCACUUUCAGUCGUGAGGAAGGUAGUGUAGUUAAUAGCUGCAUUAUUUGACGUUAGCGACAGAAGAAGCACCGGCUAACUCCGUGCCCAGCACCGCGGUAAUACGGAGGGUGCGAGCGUUAAUCGGAAUUACNGGGCGUAAAGCGCAUGCAGGUGGUUUGUUAAGUCAGAUGUGAAAGCCCGGGGCUCAACCUCGGAAUUGCAUUUG
rnacentral:rRNA from 1 species